AAAAUCAGCCUGUAACCAUCUUGCCCAGGAGCUCGUGUUCUCAAGAAGUGGCUAAUAUGGGAAGGAGACCUCAGCCUGGGUGUAGCUGGGCACUGGCAUUUAACAGGCCCAGAUGGAGUGCAAAUGACUCAGGUAUGGAGCUGCGAUUUGCCUUUCUCAACGUGCUAGGACUCUUUUGGAUUCAAGUUCUUGUGCACAGGUGGUCCUGCACUGCACAGCUGGAACCGCUGCAAGAAAGACCUAUGUAUGUACAAAGCACGUGUUCUUUGGACAAUGCAUUAAUUCACUAAAAAGCGGACAGAUACAUUUCUUUUGGAUAGGUUUUUGGAUUUUCUGAUUUAGGGUAUUUGUGUUUUCUUUUGCUUCAUGUCUUUUUAAAGAAGUAAAUAGACUAAAAAUCAUAUAUGUUAAACAUGAUAGACCUGAGCUACUUUUUUCAGCUGGAACUGAAUAUAACAACAGUUUUAAAGCAGAAUGCUGUAUUUUGACCUGUUAAAAUUACAUGUAUCAUUUACAUGAAUCUGAAUUGGAGAAACUAUGUAUUUUAUUUAUAUAACCACUUUUUAUAAAAUCACCCAUAUGAACAGAAAUGUAUCUGUCAACGACGCAA
rnacentral:lncRNA from 1 species